rnacentral:pre_miRNA from 1 species
UACCAAAGUUUUCUUCGGUAGUUAACUGCAGCCGGUUUUUUCAAACUUCGGCAGUUAACUGCCGAAGGACAU